GGUCCGAUCCGGCUGCUUACACAUGCAAGACGAACGGAGUAGAAAUACUUAGUGGCGGACGGGUGAGUAACGCGUGAGAAUCUACCUUCAGGACGGAGACAACAGUUGGAAACGACUGCUAACCCCCGAUGUACCGAAAGGGCAAAUAUUUAUAGCCUGAAGAAGAGCUCGCGUCCGAUUGGCUAGUUGGAGAGGUAAAAGCUCACCAAGGCGACGAUCGGUAGCUGGUCUGAGAGGACGAUCAGCCACACUGGGACUGAGACACGGCCCAGACUCCUACGGGAGGCAGCAGUGGGGAAUUUUCCGCAAUGGGCGCAAGCCUGACGGAGCAAGACCGCGUGGGGGAAGAAGGCUCUUGGGUUGUAAACCCCUUUUCUCUGGGAAGAAAGUUGUGAAAGCAGCCUGACGGUACCAGAGGAAUCAGCAUCGGCUAACUCCGUGCCAGCAGCCGCGGUAAGACGGAGGAUGCAAGCGUUAUCCGGAAUGAUUGGGCGUAAAGCGUCCGCAGGUGGCAGUUCAAGUCUGCUGUCAAAGACCGGGGCUUAACCUCGGAAAGGCAGUGGAAACUGAACAGCUAGAGUAUGGUAGGGGCAGAGGGAAUUCCUGGUGUAGCGGUGAAAUGCGUAGAGAUCAGGAAGAACAUCGGUGGCGAAGGCGCUCUGCUGGACCAUAACUGACACUCAGGGACGAAAGCUAGGGGAGCGAAUGGGAUUAGAUACCCCAGUAGUCCUAGCCGUAAAACGAUGGAUACUAGGUGUUGUCUGUAUCGACCCGGACAGUGCCGUAGCUAACGCGUUAAGUAUCCCGCCUGGGGAGUACGCACGCAAGUGUGAAACUCAAAGGAAUUGACGGGGGCCCGCACAAGUGGUGGAGCAUGUGGUUUAAUUCGAUGAUACGCGAGGAACCUUACCUAGGCUAGAAUGCGCGUGACCGGUCCAGAGAUGGACCUCUCCUUCGGGACACAAAGC
rnacentral:rRNA from 1 species